AUUUUGCCCGUUCAAUGGACCAGCUACUCUUAAAGUUGGACCUGUAAAUGUUGCCCUUAGCAAGAUUGGGCAGCAUGUGUGUGACUGGGAACAUUUCACUCUCCGAAUAUGCAACUUUACUGGAGAGCUGUUGAGUAUGUAUUUCUCUCAGCACAGUGGUGGUGAAUGGGUUGAGGCUUAUGACUUGGAGUACACAGAGGGCAAUAAACCUAUUGUUUAUUCAUCAAAAAGCGGACACGCAAGCUAUCCUCAUCCCGGGACCUACAUGCAGGGGUCUGCAAAACUUGGGAUUGGAAUAAGGAAUGAUGCAGCUCGUAGUAAUUUGUAUGUAGAUUCAAGCACCAAUUAUGAAAUCGUUGCAGCUGAGUAUAUAGGAGGUGAUGUUUCCAUUGAGCCUAAUUGGUUGCAAUUUAUGAGAGAAUGGGGUCCAAAAAUUGUCUACAAUUCAAGGAAUGAGCUAGAUAAGAUCAUUAACCUUUUGCCUAUGAUGCUUAGAUAUUCUGUGGAGAACAUAUUUUAUAAGCUUCCAGUGGAGGUUUAUGGGGAAGAAGGUCCUACUGGACCUAAGGAAAAGAAUAAUUGGGUGGGAGAUGAAAGAGGCUAGGUAAUGCAUGCUGUCAUCUCUCUUGUUCCUUCACUGCUCCAAUUACAUUGUUAGAGAAUCUUUGAAUCCCAUGGCUUGUACUAUUUAUGUAGAUGUCUCAUUAUUGUAUAGGAAUUUUUAAGAUAUCAGUAUUGGUUUCCUUCUAGUUAAAGUUGUUUCUUAAAGGGGAAGAAGAAGUUAGCAGAUUUGUAUGGUGGAUAGAGGUCUGGAAAAUGAAGAAGAAGAUCUUAGCUACCCAUUUAUGCUGUAAUGGGCAGAGUGUUCAGUCC
rnacentral:misc_RNA from 1 species